rnacentral:rRNA from 1 species
AACGAACGCUGGCGGCAGGCCUAACACAUGCAAGUCGAGCGAAGCCUUCGGGCUUAGCGGCGGACGGGUGAGUAAAGCGUGGGAACGUGCCCUUUGGUACGGAAUAGCCCCGGGAAACUGGGAGGAAUACCGUAUGUGGUCGAGAGACGAAAGAUUUAUCGCCAAAGGAUCGGCCCGCGUUGGAUUAGGUAGUUGGUGGGGUAAUGGCCUACCAAGCCGACGAUCCAUAGCUGGUUUGAGAGGAUGAUCAGCCACACUGGGACUGAGACACGGCCCAGACUCCUACGGGAGGCAGCAGUGGGGAAUCUUAGACAAUGGGGGAAACCCUGAUCUAGCCAUGCCGCGUGAUCGAUGAAGGCCUUAGGGUUGUAAAGAUCUUUCAGUGGGGAAGAUAAUGACUGUACCCACAGAAGAAGCCCCGGCUAACUCCGUGCCAGCCGCCGCCGUAAUAC